GAACUGUUGUGGAGUCCCACAAUAGGACGAAACGGCCGUCCGGUGC
rnacentral:hammerhead_ribozyme from 1 species